rnacentral:rRNA from 1 species
AGUGAACGCUGGCGGUAGGCCUAACACAUGCAAGUCGAACGGCAGCACAGUAAGAGCUUGCUCUUACGGGUGGCGAGUGGCGGACGGGUGAGGAAUACAUCGGAAUCUACUUUUUCGUGGGGGAUAACGUAGGGAAACUUACGCUAAUACCGCAUACGACCUACGGGUGAAAGCAGGGGAUCUUCGGACCUUUCGCGAUUGAAUGAGCCGAUGUCGGAUUAGCUAGUUGGCGGGGUAAAGGCCCACCAAGGCGACGAUCCGUAACUGGUCUGAGAGGAUGAUCAGCCACACUGGAACUGAGACACGGUCCAGACUCCUACGGGAGGCAGCAGUGGGGAAUAUUGGACAAUGGGCGCAAGCCUGAUCCAGCCAUACCGCGUGGGUGAAGAAGGCCUUCGGGUUGUAAAGCCCUUUUGUUGGGAAAGAAAAGCAGCAGGUUAAUACCCCGCUGUUCUGACGGUACCCAAAGAAUAAGCACCGGCUAACUUCGUG